CAGGCAGCAUACCCGGGCGUGGAGCAGCCGCCCCCCCCACCACCCCCCCCUACUACCACCACAGCCACCCCCCCGCCCCCCCCCACACCAGGCCUACCACCACCACCCGCUGCCCCCCCACGAGGCCCCGCCCCCUCGCUUCAGAGACAAGCAGCGGGCGCCCCCCCCACCGCGCCUUCCCCUCCAGCCCGCACGACUACGACAUGCGCGUGGACGACUUCCUGCGGCGGACGCAGGCGGUGGUGAGCAGCCGGCGGGAGCGCGAGCGGCAGCGUGAGCGUGAGCGAGGCGGGCCGCGGCGAGAGAGAGAGCGAGAGCGAGGGAGAGACCGAGACCGAGAGAGAGACCGAGACAAGGAGAGGGGCCGCUACCGCCGCUGAGCUCCGGCAUCGGCCCGGGCUUUUAUUCUGAAACUCAGCUGGUUUCCUGUUAUUAUUUUUAUUUUAUGAGAAUUAUGAAUAAAAAACUAAACGAGCUGCGUGAUGACAUCAUCCGUUUUUAUGUGAAUAAAACCGUAAAAAUAAAGAUUCUGUGGAAACGUUUCUUUUGAUGAUCAACCGUCACAUUUCAUUACCCAGAAUCCUCUCUGUUCGGCGUCCGUUCCCCAACGCGAGGGGCGGGGCCUCUGAGGGGUUGCCACGGUGACUGAGUCAUUUUGUUUCUUUAGUUAUUGCUUCUCUUAUUGUGAAAAGUUGGACAGUUUCCUGUAGAGUCCUUCAAAAUAAAUGAGGCGAGAAAAUCUUUUAAAACCUGUGAAGAAGAAAAAGAAGAAACUUCCUGAUUCUCUUUUAUAAGUUUUUAAACAUUUUUUUCUCUAUGUUAAAAAUGAAUUUAUUUUCAGGUUUAUUUUGUAUUUUACUUCCUGAACGUCAGUGUUUUUGUGUUUAAGGCUGAUAUAUUUUUGCUCCUCUGUGAUUGGUUGUUUGCAGUCAGCUGAUCUGUGUUAGCGUUAACGUCUGUUUCCUGUUUCUGAACCAAAGGGGGCGGGGCUUGUGUCUGUUUUUUACAAAAUAAAAAAAUGUACAAUCAUCAAUCAGCUGUUUCUUUUCUGUUGUAGUAAAGUAAUCAGAUUACUGCUUUCAGACCAAAUUACUGAAAGGACAGUUUGUAAUACGUGUCUAUAUGAAUAUUAUAUGUAUAUUUAUGUAUACAUAUGUAUAUGUGUGUAUAUAUAUAUAUAUAUAUAUAUAUAUAUAUAUAUAUAUAUAUAUAUACACAUCAUUGAGUCCAUCCUCACAUCCUCCA
rnacentral:lncRNA from 1 species